AUCCAGCUGACGAGUGCCAAACAGGGCGAAACGAUCGUCCUGUAU
rfam:Schistosoma curassoni strain Dakar, Senegal genome assembly, scaffold: SCTD_contig0000256